rnacentral:rRNA from 1 species
AACGAACGCUGGCGGCAUGCCUAACACAUGCAAGUCGAACGGGAUCCAGGCUUCGGCCUGGUGAGAGUGGCGGACGGGUGAGUAACACGUGGGAACCUGCCUUUUGGUUCGGGAUAACCGCGGGAAACUGCGGCUAAUACCGGAUGCUCCCGAGAGGGGGAAAGAUUUAUCGCCAGAAGAGGGGCCCGCGUCCGAUUAGGUAGUUGGUGAGGUAAUGGCUCACCAAGCCGACGAUCGGUAGCUGGUCUGAGAGGAUGAUCAGCCACACUGGGACUGAGAUACGGCCAGACUCCGUACGGGAGGCAGCA